UCCGGCCGCCUGGCCGCGGGAUUUUCCGGUUGAUCCUGCCAGAGGUCACUGCNNUCGGGGUUCGAUUAAGCCAUGCGAGUCGAGAGGGUUCGGCCCUCGGCGUACUGCUCAGUAACACGUGGAUAACCUGCCCUAGGGGAGGGGAUAACCCCGGGAAACUGGGGAUAAUACCCUAUAGGUUACAGAUGCUGGAAUGCCCUGUAACCAAAAGCUCCGGCGCCCUAGGAUGGAUCUGCGGCCGAUUAGGUUGUUGUUGGGGUAACGGCCCAACAAGCCCGUAAUCGGUACGGGUUGUGGGAGCAAGAGCCCGGAGUUGGAUUCUGAGACACGAAUCCAGGCCCUACGGGGCGCAGCAGGCGCGAAACCUUUACAAUGCGGGCAACCGUGAUAAGGGAACCUCGAGUGCCUGUAAACGCAGGCUGUUCAGGUGUUUAAAACGCACCUGGAGAAAGGGCCGGGCAAGACCGGUGCCAGCCGCCGCGGUAAUACCGGCGGCUCGAGUGGUGGCCGCUUUUAUUGGGCUUAAAGCGUUCGUAGCUGGGUUGUUAAGUCUCUUGGGAAAUCUGGCGGCUUAACCGUCAGGCGUCUAANGGAUACUGGCAAUCUUGGAAACCGGGAGAGGUGAGGGGUACUUCGGGGG
rnacentral:rRNA from 1 species